UUUGCUCUGUUAUUUAUGUAGGUCUACAACAAGCUUUGAGGAUGCAAUUAUGGGAAGCAUGGGUCAAGUUGCGAAAGAAAUGAAUGAGCCCUGGAUGUUGGUAGGGGAUUUCAAUGUAAUUUUGUGUAGUGAGGAAUGCAGAGGGGGUUCAGAAUCCCACAGAGCAGACUUUAAUCAUUUCAAUUCCUUUGUUUUUGAACAUGGUCUUUAUGAUAUGGGUUUUUAUGGGCCGUUUUUCAUAUUGAAUAGAGGGAAUCUUUUUCAACAUUUGGAUCGAGGCCUUUGUAAUGACCAAUGGCAAUCCUUCACACCAAAUUUAGAGGGUGCGACACUUGCAUAAGCUUAAAUUGGACCAUCGUCCGAUACUUUAUCGAUCGAUAAGGCGAAAAUGGGGAGAGAAGAUAGACUAUUUCGUUUCCUCACUAGCUGGCUGAUACACCUAGAGUUCAAGGAUAGGGUGAAAUAAUUAUGGUAAAAAAAUGAUGGAGUUGGGAAUUUGGAGAAUUUUACCCAAUCAGUCUAAAAUUAGAAUAAAAUGGUGUUUGGAAAUAUUUUUUCUAAGAAAAGAUGAGCUAUACGAGAAUUAGAAAGGGUAUAAAGAGCUUUAGAAAGGCGGAAUAUGACAAGGCUUAGAAAUCAAGAAGCAGUUGUUCGUUUUGGGAAUAGAGCAUCUAGGAUAUCUAAUUGAAGCUGCUAUGGAGGAGGGAGUUAGGAACCUCUUUUUCUCUCUCGACUGGGACCAGGUAUUUCACAUCUUUUCUUUGCAGAUGAUCUGGUUCUCUUUUGCAAAGCUGAUUGGAAAAAUGUAGAGUACCUCCAACAUGUUCUAAUGACUUUCUAUCAUUUUUCUGGACAUCGGGUUAAUCGUCAAAAGACCCAGGUUUUUUUCUUAAACAAUGUUACAUAGGAAGAAUCAACUAAUUUAUGUAACAGUCUUGGAUUUACAAAGGUAAAGGAUCUGGGUAUGUUUUAGGUGUUCCUUUCUUUCACAAUCGAGUUGGUAUUGGGAAGUUUCAAUUCAACUUGGAUAAAGUUUGCACUCGACUUAAUGGAUGAGAGGCACAGAAACUAUCUCUGGCAGAUCGUCUAACAUUGGUUAAUGUUACUUGCUAUUCCAAAUUAUUUCUUGUCAAGAACAAGAAUUCCUAGCUCAGUUUGUAAUGCAAUUGAAAAACUAGCUCGUGGAUUUUUAUGGGGUUCAACAUCUUGUAUGUGGAAACUGUCACUUGUGAGUUGGGAGGAUUGCUGCAAACCUCGGGCGUAUAGGGGGAUAGGUAUUUAGAGAUUACAAGACCAAAAAAAACUUUUUCUCAUGAAGUUGGGGUUUAAACUAGUUACUAGUAUAGAGGAGUUGUGGGUUUAGGUCUUGAGAAAGAAGUAUAAAGUGCAUGGAUUACUGCCAAUGGACAUUCAUCGUACUGGCUGCUCCUAUAAAUGGCGUUUUAUAGCCAACAUAUGGAGUGAGGUGAAAAAGGGUAUAUAUUGGGUUGUUGGUGAUGGUAGGCUAGUGAAUUUAUGGAAUGAUGAUUGGUUCCGGGACUUGGGUAUUCUAUGACACUAUUACAUUGGUCAUGAGGCCCUUCCAGACUCACUUCGUGAUUGUGAUGUAGUGAUAGAAGAGGCGUGGAAUGUUCAUUGGCUAGCUACGAUUCUUCCACAAGUGAUUGUUGAGCAUAUUUUGUCUUAUAUACCUUUAUCGGCGAAUGCAGACAUGGAUCACUUAAGUUGGAGAUAGUUUUUAGAGGGUUGAAGCUCGGGCACUACUCGAGGGCUUAAAGUUAGCUUGGGCAAAAGGAUACUGCUAAGUGGAGAUCGAGAGCAAUAAUGCUAUACUGAUUUCCGUUAUACAGAAUGGGUUAGCAGCACGCAACAUUUACAGUGAAGUUUGACUUAUACAUGAUUGGUGCUUUAAAGAUUGGAAUGUGACUUUCCGUCAGAUUGUGAGAGACAACAAUAUGGUGGCAAAUCGUCUUGCUAGAGAAGCUCAAGGCGGCAUGAAUGAAUUAUUCAUUCAUGUGAAUCCACUAAUAUAUGUGAGGAACUUACUUGAAGACGUCAUCUGUCGUGCGACGAAAAUUCUACCUGCUGUUGACUAAGUUUAAUGUAAUUAACCUUGACUAAUUUUUCAUAUUUACCAAAAAAAAAUUCAUUCGGAA